GGGCCUGUGGUGUAUCUGGUUGAGCACACUACCCUUGACACGUAGUAGAACGGGUUCGAUUCCCGUCAGGUCCA
rnacentral:tRNA from 1 species